rnacentral:lncRNA from 1 species
GUUUGGUUCUACCUGUAAAAUUUUUUAUUUCAAACGGGAUAGCACAUCCUCAUUUUUACGGAGAUGUUGUUUACCGUGCCAUUGGAUGUUGGAUGUGUAAUGAUUGAUAAUUUAGUCUCAGAUGCAUUACUUUUUAUUAGUUGUAAUUGGCUUUGAACUAGCUGUCAGUAACUGCAAGUACUCUCAGAUCUGUACUUAGUGUCUUUUUGUUGAUGGGAUGUACAAGUACUCGGUCACGUCCACUCUCUGUUUUUUGUUAGAUGUAUUUCUAUUUGUAUCCAUCUGAUGAGUUAAGCCUUUUUCAACUGAUUUGUAUAGUUCGUUCUUAUGUUGUACUGUUACACCACUGUCCCAGGUUAAGGGGAGGGUUGGGAUCCCGCUAACAUGUUUAACCUCGCCACAUUCUGUAUGUAUGUGCCUGUCCAAAGUCAGGAGUCUUUAAUUCAGUGGUUGUCGUUUGUUGCUGUGUUACAUAUUUGUUUUUUGUUCAUUUUUUUAUACAUAAAUUAGGCCGUUAGUUUUCUCGUUUGAAUUGUUCUACAUUUGUCAUUUCAGGUCUUUUUAUAGCUAACUAUGAGGUAUGAGCU